rnacentral:rRNA from 1 species
GUGCCAGCAGCCGCGGUAAUACGUAGGUGGCAAGCGUUAUCCGGAAUUAUUGGGCGUAAAGCGCGCGUAGGCGGUUUUUUAAGUCUGAUGUGAAAGCCCACGGCUCAACCGUAGAGGGUCAUUGGAAACUGGAAAACUUGAGUGCAGAAGAGGAAAGUGGAAUUCCAUGUGUAGCGGUGAAAUGCGCAGAGAUAUGGAGGAACACCAGUGGCGAAGGCGACUUUCUGGUCUGUAACUGACGCUGAUGUGCGAAAGCGUGGGGAUCAAACAGGAUUAGAUAC